UGUGUGUCGUCCCUGCAGGAAGAGUCUGCAGCUGUCCUGUCGCUUAUCUCUGUUAACCUAGCUGGGAUCAGGGCUCCCUUUCCCCUCUCCCGCAUGAGGCCCCAGGCUGGACAUGCCGAGUCACUCAGGUGCCAGGAUCAAAGCAGCGAUGGUCAGCCUCCAAAAAGGAGUCUUCUGGGCUCCUCCUCACCCUCUCCCCUUCCACAGGGUCAAAAUCAGCAUUUCCCAACCUGACCCUGCGGGGACCCCCAACAGGCUGGGAGGGAUCGGCUGUCACCUGCCGCCUGCUUGGCCUUUAAGGUUUAGGUUCUUAAGAUUACAGGUGUGUUAUAUUCUACUAUCUGAGUGUGUCUUUUUUAUGGCUAAAGUGAUGGAUUUUUUCACCCCAGAGCUCGAGGAAGAGCUGACACUUGUGGGAGACGGGCGGUUUGAGCCCCAGCCCGUACGUGCCCCCGGGUGUGUGUGUGUCCGUGGACCUCCCCUUUCAUACUUUUCUCCGCAGUGAAACUCCAGGGCUUCAAGACAGACCAACCUGCACUCUGAGUGACACCUUAUAGUUCGUGUCAUUUUGAGAGAGAACUUCCAGGUGAGGGUGAGUGGCGGCUGAAAAGCAGAUAUACUGCUCGUAUGUUCACGUUUGGCCAAAAUGUCUAGUAUUCUAGUUAAAGUGAAUGUGGCUAAAGGCUACAUUAAAUCAAAGGUAUGUCUAGCAAAAGGCAGUGGGCUCCAAGUGGGAUGGAAAACAAAGGCCUGAUCUCAGAGAGUAUCAGGAAAAACAAGAAUUGCUGGCAACUGGGGCCUCUGGGGCGUAAGCCUGAGGCGGGGCCUCCUGGCUGUGCCACUGGCUGCCCUGAGCAGCACCCAGCACCCAGCCUGGUGGGCUCGGGGGUGGGCAUCGUUGAGUAGACAAGGUACAAGGUGCUAGGAGUAGGAAAAACGUGAGCCCUGUUCUGAGCUCUGAAUUCUCCCAGCGACUCCAUGAGGUGGUCGUGCCGUUGCCUCAAUUUUAGGGAAGAGAAAGUGGGCUUGAGAGGAUGAGUAAGUCCGUGCCAGGGCACACAGACAGAAAGCAGAGGACAGGACCGCAGUCCUGGCGCCGGCUCCUCCCUGCCUGCGGGGUGUGUGACGUUGGGGAGGAACUCUCCCCGGGGCCUAAAGCCCCUGGACCCUGACAGGCGGCCUGGAUUCAGAGCUGAUUCGCUUCCCACUCUGACCUUCCAUGUUUUCCUUGCUGGGCUCCCAGGUCAGGGUCCGUGGUCGUGUGCAAAGGCAGGUGUGUGUGAGUGUGAGUGUGAAUGUUUUUUGGGGGGAGGGGCCUGAAACUUCAUCAGACGUUCAGAGGCGUGUGUGAGCCAAAAAGCAGUAACUAGCCCUGUUCAGACUGGAGGGAAGACCUUUCUGGAGCCAGCUGGGUGGUUGGAACAAAGGUUCAAAAGGAAUGACUCACCAAACAGUAUCUUAGAAAUGUUUUAUUUUAAUUUUGACAUAAUUUCAGUCUUGACAGAGAAGUUACAAAAGAGUACAGAGUUCCCAGGUACCCUUCAUCCCAGUUCCCUAAAUGUUAACAUUUCACACGUUUGUGCCCCCUGUACACAUACAUGUGUGUGCACAUGCACACUUUUUUCUGAACCAUUUAAAAGUAAGUUGCAGAUACUGUGCCCCCUUUACCCUUAAUAAAAGCUAGGAAUGUUCUUACCUAACUGCUGUACGGUGACAAAAUCAGGGAAGUUAACCUUGAUCUCUUGCUGUUACUGUACAGACCUAAUUCACAUUUCACUGAUUGUCCUAAUACUGCCCUUUAUAGCAAAAGAAGAUCAAGAUUGCAUGUCACAUUCAGCUGUCAGGCUCCUUUUGUCUCCUGUGAUCAGGAACAGUCCCCAAGUCUUUGUGAAUGUGGACAUUUCUGAAGCAUCCUGACUAGUUGGUUUGCACAGUGUCCCAGGAUUUGGGGGCGUCUGCUCUUUGCUCCUGUUCAGGUUCUGUAGGCACUCGGGCAGGAAUACCAUGGACAUAAGUCCUGUUUCUGGCAAGGUUAACUUUUAGUUAAGGCAGGCAGGGUUCACUUUGCAAGUACGUGUCUUAUAGAGAGGUUCACUGAGGAUAUGUCAGUACCCUGCUACUCAGACUUUGCACCCCUGGUCUUAGUAUCCAGACAAUGCGUCGUAGCCUUCUAGGUUCAUAUCUCCUUGAGGAAGCGGCUUUUAGAGUGGGUUCCGCAGUGGCCUGAGCUUAAGUGAGGGCCUGUCUGUCACCCUUCAGUAAGAUGCUGGCAAGAGCUCCUGCCUCCCCAGGAGCACAGCAGGGUGUCCUGGGCAGGUGGGCCGGGCACUCAGUGUUACAGGUGGUGCUUCUCAACACUCACCAGGACUUCUCUGGUGACCAAGAGGCCAAAGGAUGUCUGUGUUACCUAGUGCUACGUAAGGAACCACCACAGACUCUAGCCACUUAACACCAUAGCAGUUUCUUUUCUCUUGGGAUUCUGAGGGUUUUCUGGCUGGUUCUCUCCAUGUGGUGCCGGCUGGGGCACUGGGGCAGCCCCUGUCAUCUGGGAGCUCAGCUGGGGUGCUGGCCGGGGGGCUUCAGUUCUCUUCCCGCCUCCCCGUGGGACUGCUUACAACACCUCAUGGCGAGGUAGCUGGGUUCCAAGAAGGAACAUUCUUCCAACUUUCCAGGAAGACAGACCCCACUGCAAGUGCUUCUCAAGCCUCUGCUUGCAUCGUGCUUACUGCUGACCCAUCAGCCGGAGCCAGUGACGUGGCCGAACUCCUAGACCACACCGGAGGGAGCACUUCACAAGGACAAAUACUGGGAUAUGUGGUUCCCGAGGGGAGGGGGAUGGCAAGCACCAAAGUAUAGUCAACCAAAAGGGUCAUUAUGGAAAAGCCUGUGAAGUUGUGACACCCAGAGGGCAGCUGCCCGGCUUGGAAUUGUUCCCCUUUGGGGCAACUGGGUGGGCUGUAGCUGGUGGACACCUCAUCCAUGCUAGGAAGGCAGUGAGGGCGUACCUCGAGGCCAGAGUGCAUGCAGGAGCUCUAGGUGGCCACGGUUUUUUGUUUUUUAUUUUGUUUGUGGGCCAGUCUAGAGAACAGGAAGGGUUGAGACAGUUUCAGAUAGAUUUCUGGUGAGGCCUCUCCCUGAGGCUGGCUGAGGCUCCCCCUCAGGAUUGGGGAAGGCUUCCCCUUACAUCCAUCCCAUUUUAUAGUAAAUCAUCCCGCCUUCUUUUUAAAGUUUUAUGGAGGUGUAAUUUGCAUACUAUAAAAUUCACCAAUUUUAAGUGUACAAUUCAGUGGUUUUUAGUAGAUUUAUGGAGUUAUCACUCAAUCCAGUUGUAGAACAUGGGGCCAGAGAGGCCCCUGGUGCUCAUUUGCAGUCAGUCCCCACUCCUGCCCCAGCCCAGACGACCACCAAUCUGUUUUCUGUCCCUAUAGAUUUGCCUUUUCUAGAUGUUACAUGUCAAAUGACCCUUUUUGCUUUACUUCACGUUGGCUUGUUACCAGCUACCAGAGAGGCUUCUCUAACCCAGCAUAGCCCAUUGCUUUAGAUAUUUUGGUAUAAAUCCUACAAGGCCUUUUGUCUUAUGCACAUACAUAUGCCCUUGCAUGUGUCAUUUUUUUUCAUAUACUAGUUUUUAAAAUGAACUGUGAUCAUAUUGUAUAUCUUGUUCUAUAAGAUACACGACUUUUGGGGUUUUUUUUUUUACGUGAUCACAGAUAACAUUCCACAUUGUCAUAUGUUCUAAAAAAUCAUAUAUGAUAGAAUUAUAUUUUGUUAUAGGCAUGUACCAUAGUUUAACAAAUACCCCUGUUUCCAAAUAAUGCAAUCAUACCAACAGGCUAAAGAAUAAAAAUCACAUGGUCAUAUCACAUGAUACAUGACAGAAUCCAAUACCCAUUCAUGAUAAAAAUUCUUAGCAGGGGCUUCCCUGGUAGCGCAGUGGUUGAGAGUCUGCCUGCCGAUGCAGGGGACACGGGUUCGUGCCCCGGUCUGGGAAGAUCCCACAUGCCGUUCUCUGGAGCCUGUGCUCUGCAACGGGAGAGGCCACAACAGUGAGAGGCCCGUGUACCGC
ensembl:lncRNA